rfam:Fukomys damarensis contig71933, whole genome shotgun sequence.
AGGGGUGUGGCUUAGAGGUACAGUGCCUGCUUAGCACACACAAGGCCCUGGGUUUAAACCCCAGCACCACCA